UACGGGGGGGGCAAGCGUUGUUCGGAAUUACUGGGCGUAAAGGGCUCGUAGGUGGCCAACUAAGUCAUGCGUGAAAUCCCUCGGCUUAACCGGGGAACUGCGUCUGAUACUGGAUGGCUUGAGUUUGGGAGAGGGAUGCGGAAUUCCAGGUGUAGCGGUGAAAUGCGUAGAUAUCUGGAGGAACACCUGUGGCGAAGGCGGCCCCCUGGUUGGAUACUGACGCUGAGGCGCGAAAGCGUGGGGAGCAAACAGG
rnacentral:rRNA from 1 species